UGUGGGUGCUGAUGGGGUGAAGGAGGAGGAAUGAGGGUUAAAGCAGGAGGGGAUCAGGAGGAUUGGGGCCAUUUCUGUGUCUUGGCAGGAACCUGGAGGAGAAGAGGCUGCUCUGGAGGCUGCUGGAUGUGCCUGGUGCCGCGGGGCAGGGAGGCUGUGGCCGGCUCUCGGCCAGCUGGGAGCCCCUGUGUGGGCCCAGCAAGCCCAGUCCCGUGGCAGCGCAGUUCAGCAGCGAGGGCAGCACACUGUCGGGUGUCGAGGUGGAGCUGGCGAGCGCCGGGUACCGCAUGUCCCUGGUCAAGAAGAGGUUUGCUACAGGGAUCUAUCUGGCGGGGUCCUGAGCUGCCCUCACCCCGGGCUUCCCCUUUGGUUGUGUGUGAAACACUGGAUGGAGGCCGGCUGGGGAGGGGGUACUGCCGUGUGGGAGCCCCCCUCCUCUCCCUCCUCAUCUCCCUCUGGCCUCCCCUGCUCCGUGGCUGUCACUGCAUCCCCUCUGCCCUCCCCUGUGCUGUGACGGGAGCAGGAGCUGCUCUUUUAUUAAACACUUUAUUUUCUAACCCCCUCCCCUCACUUGGCUCCCAGCUGCGGUGUACCCCAGCGCCCAUCCCCGUGGCCUCUGGGCUGCUCCAUGGCAACGGGGCUCCGGGAUGCGGCAAACUGAGACAGGG
rnacentral:lncRNA from 14 species